CCUACGGGUGGCAGCAGUGAGGAAUAUUGGUCAAUGGACGAGAGUCUGAACCAGCCAAGCCGCGUGAAGGACGAAGGUGCCAAGCAUUGUAAACUUCUUUUGUCAAGGGACAAAAUCAGGCUCGAGAGCCUGACCGAGGGUACUUGAAGAAAAAGCAUCGGCUAACUCCGUGCCAGCAGCCGCGGUAAUACGGAGGAUGCGAGCGUUAUCCGGAUUUAUUGGGUUUAACGGGUGCGUAGGCGGGCUGUUAAGUCAGCGGUAAAAGCCCGGGGCUCAACCCCGGCGAGCCGUUGAAACUGGCUGUCUUGAGAUGGCGAGAGGUAUGCGGAAUGCGCAGUGUAGCGGUGAAAUGCUUAGAUAUCGCGCAGAACUCCGAUUGCGAAGGCAGCAUACCGGCGGCGAUCUGACGCUGAGGCACGAAAGCGUGGGUAUCGAACAGGAUUAGAUACCCGAGUAGUC
rnacentral:rRNA from 1 species